rnacentral:rRNA from 1 species
AACGAACGCUGGCGGCGCGUCUUACGCAUGCAAGUCGAACGGCAAGAGAGGAGCUUGCUUCUCUCCUAGAGUGGCGGACUGGUGAGGAACACGUGGGUAAUCUACCCUUAAGAUGGGGAUAGCUGCUAGAAAUAGCAGGUAAUACCGAAUACACUCGGCAUAUCACAAGAGGUGUUGAGGAAAGGAAGCUACGGCUUCGCUUGAGGAUGAGCUUGCGUCCCAUUAGCUAGUUGGUGAGGUAAGGGCCCACCAAGGCGACGAUGGGUAUCCGGCCUGAGAGGGUGAACGGACACAUUGGGACUGAGAUACGGCCCAAACUCCUACGGGAGGCAGCAGCUAAGAAUAUUCCGCAAUGGACGGAAGUCUGACGGAGCGACGCCGCGUGGAUGAAGAAGGCUGAAAAGUUGUAAAAUCCUUUUGUUGAUGAAGAAUAAGGGUGAGAGGGAAUGCUCAUCUGAUGACGGUAAUCGACGAAUAAGCCCCGGCUAAUUACGUG